ACCUGUUCCCAUCCCGAACACAGAAGUUAAGCUCAUCAGUGUCGACAAUACUUGGCUGGUAACGGCCCGGAAAGAUAGAUCGCUGCCGGAU
rnacentral:rRNA from 1 species